rnacentral:rRNA from 1 species
GGCGAUCAGAUACCGCCCUAGUUCUGACCGUAAACGAUGCCAACUAGCGAUCCGCCGGCGGAUUCAUUCGCCCUGGUGGGGAGCUUCCCGGAAACGAAAGUCUUCCGGUUCCGGGGGAAGUAUGGUUGCAAAGCUGAAACUUAAAGGAAUUGACGGAAGGGCACCACCAGGAGUGGAGCCUGCGGCUUAAUUUGACUCAACACGGGGAAACUCACCCGGCCCGGACACCGUAAGGAUUGACAGAUUGAUAGCUUUUUCAUGAUUCGGUGGAUGGUGGUGCAUGGCCGUUCUUAGUUCGUGGAGCGAUUUGUCUGGUUUAUUCCGAUAACGAGCGAGACUCUGGCCUACUAAAUAGUUGGCACAUUGCCACUGUGUGCCCAACUUCUUAGAGGGAUUUUCGGUGUUCAGCCGCACGAAAUUGAGCAAUAACAGGUCUGUGAUGCCCUUAGAUGUCCGGGGCUGCACGCGCGCUACACUGGCAAAAUCAGCGUGCUUGUCCUCCCCCGAAAAGGGUUGGUAAACCGAUGAAAAUUUGCCGUGAUUGGGAUCGGACAUUGCAAUUAUUGUCCGUGAACGAGGAAUCCCUUGUAAGGGCGAGUCAUCAACUCGUCCUGAAUACGUCCCUGCCCUUUGUA